AAAGUCCAUUGUUUUGUCCUAGUUCUAGAGUUAUUUCAGAAAUGACUAGAUAAAGAUCACCAGUGUUUUAUACAUAUAUAUAUAUUCAUUCUCUUGAUUUGGCCUUCUGAGAACAGAUAUAGAAGAGUAGAAGGAAAAUAAGAGGCAGGGGCUACUUUUUCUCUAACAAUUUCAAAUGCAAGGACAUGGUAUCCAUGAGAAAGAAAAUACUGCAUAGACCAGAGGUCCCCAACUCCUUGAGCCGUGAACUUGUACCAGUCUGUGGCCUGUUAGGAACCGGAAGUACAGAGCAGGAGGUGAGUGGCAGGUGAAUGAGUGAAGCUUCAUCUGUAUCUAUAGCUGCUCCCCAUCACUUGCAUUACCACCAGAGCUCCACCUUCUGUGACAUCAGUGGCAGCAUUAGAUUCUCAUAGGAUCGCGAACCCUAUUGUGAACUGCACAUGCAGGGGAUCUAGGUUGUGUGCUCCUUAUGAGAGUCUAAUGCCAGAUGACCAGUCACUGUCUCCCAUUACACCCAGAUGGGACCAUCCAGCUGCAGGAAAACAAGCCCAGGGCUCCCACUGGUUCUACAUUAUGGUACAAGAGCCUUUUGGAACCAUGGCCAUAAAAAACACAAUUUCAGCACAAAAGGAACCGAGGUAGAAGCAUAAAGAGGUUAAGGAACAUCCUGAAGGAAAAUCUAUCUCCAAAGAGACACUGGGGAGCUGAUUAAUAACUGUGUUAUAUGAGACAAAGGUGUGCUGGUUUUAUGAUUAGACUAACACUAGUAUUAGAAACUACAGACAGAUACUUUCUCUUGUCAGCGCCUAAGCAAGAAACCAGAAGUCAGCAAAGACAGCAAUUCUGCAUGAAUGAAGCGAGCACAGCUUGAAAAGCACUUAAGCCUCACUUUUCUAACCAUUGUCACCAUGUCAAAUCCCAAGCUGUUAUGUUUAUCAUUAAACAAAAUUUCUGCAUAUAACAUCACAACCUAAUGUUUCAUAAUCG
rnacentral:lncRNA from 1 species